rnacentral:rRNA from 1 species
GAUGAACGCUGGCGGCGUGCCUAAUACAUGCAAGUCGAGCGAACAGACGAGGAGCUUGCUCCUCUGACGUUAGCGGCGGACGGGUGAGUACCACGUGGAUAACCCACCUAUAAGACUGGGAUACCUUCGGGAAACCGGAGCUAAUACCGGAUAAUAUAUUGAACCGCAUGGUUCAAUAGUGAAAGACGGUUUUGCUUUCACUUAUAGAUGGAUCCGCGCCGCAUUAGCUAGUUGGUAAGGUAACGGCUUACCAAGGCAACGAUGCGUAGCCGACCUGAGAGGGUGAUCGGCCACACUGGAACUGAGACACGGUCCAGACUCCUACAGGAGGAAGCAGUAGGGAAUCUUCCGGAAUGGGCGAAAGCCUGACGGAGCAACGCCGCGUGAGUGAUGAAGGUCUUAGGAUCGUAAAACUCUGAUAUUAGGGAAGAACAAAUGUGUAAGUAACUAGGCACGUCUUGACGGUACCUAAUCAGAAAGCCACGGCUAACUACGUG